rnacentral:rRNA from 1 species
UUAACCCGUGACUCGCUUUCAAUACUGCUUUUCAUGAGUAUGGGAGAGGGAGAUGGAAUUCCAGGUGUACCGGUGGAAUGCGUAGAUAUCUGGAAGAACACCAGUAGCGAAGGCGGUCUCCUGGCCCAAUACUGACGCUGAGGCUCGAAAGCGUGGGGAGCGAACAGGAUUAGAUACCCUGGUAGUCCACGCCGUAAACGAUGGACACUAGAUGUUGGUCUCUUCGGGGGUCGGUGUCGUAGCUAACGCGUUAAGUGUCCCGCCUGGGAAGUACGCUCGCAAGAGUGAAACUCAAAGGAAUUGAUGGGGGCCCGCACAAGCGGUGGAGCAUGUGCUUUAAUUCGAUGCAACGCGAAGAACCUUACCUGGACUUGACAUGGGGGUGAAAGUUUUCAGAGAUGAAAACCCUUCCUUCGGGAACGCCAUACACAGGUGCUGCAUGGUUGUCGUCAGCUCGUGUCGUGAGAUGUUGGGUUAAGUCCCGCAACGAGCGCAACCCUUGUCCUUAGUUGCCAGCGGGUCAUGCCGGGAACUCUAGGGAGACUGCCUGGUACAACCAGGAGGAAGGUGGGGAUGACGUCAAAUCAUCAUGGCCCUUACGUCCAGGGCUAGACACGUGCUACAAUGGCCGGUACAGAGGGCUGCAAGACUGCGAAGUCAAGCCAAUCCCUAAAAACCGGUCUCAGUUCGGAUUGGAGUCUGCAAUUCGACUCCAUGAAGGUGGAAUCGCUAGUAAUCGCGGAUCAGCAUGCCGCGGUGAAUACGUUCCCGGGCAUUGUACACACCGCCCGUCAAGCCACGAAAGAUGGCAGUGCCCGAAGUCGCUACUCUAACCCUCACGGGAGGAGAGCGCCGAAGGUAAGGCUGUUGAUUGGGGCUAAGUCGU